UACGUAGGGUGCAAGCGUUGUCCGGAAUUAUUGGGCGUAAAGAGCUCGUAGGCGGUUUGUCGCGUCUGCCGUGAAAGUCCGAGGCUCAACUUCGGAUCUGCGGUGGGUACGGGCAGACUAGAGUGAUGUAGGGGAGACUGGAAUUCCUGGUGUAGCGGUGAAAUGCGCAGAUAUCAGGAGGAACACCGAUGGGAAGGCAGGUCUCUGGGCAUCUACUGACGCUGAGGAGCGAAAGCAUGGGGAGCGAACAGG
rnacentral:rRNA from 1 species